UACGUAGGAUGCAAGCGUUAUCCGGAUUUAUUGGGCGUAAAGAGGGCGCAGGCGGUCUGAUAAGUCAGAUGUAAAAUCUCCUGGCUUAACUAGGAGGGACCAUCUGAUACUGUCGGACUCGAGUGCAGCAGGGGAUGAUGGAAUUCCCGGUGUAGUGGUGAAAUGCGUAGAUAUCGGGAGGAACACCAGUGGCGAAGGCGGUCAUCCAGGCUGUUACUGACGCUGAGGGCCGAAAGCGUGGGGAG
rnacentral:rRNA from 1 species